rnacentral:rRNA from 1 species
GACGAACGCUGGCGGCGUGCCUAAUACAUGCAAGUCGAACGCACAGUUUAUACCGUAGCUUGCUACACCAUAGACUGUGAGUUGCGAACGGGUGAGUAACGCGUAGGUAACCUGCCUGGUAGCGGGGGAUAACUAUUGGAAACGAUAGCUAAUACCGCAUAAUAUUGAUUAUUGCAUGAUAAUUGAUUGAAAGAUUCUAUUGCAUCACUACCAGAUUGACCUGCGUUGUAUUAGCUAGUAGGGGAGGUAACGGCUCACCUAGGCGACGAUACAUAGCCGACCUGAGAGGGUGAUCGGCCACACUGGGACUGAGACACGGCCCAGACUCCUACGGGAGGCAGCAGUAGGGAAUCUUCGGCAAUGGACGAAAGUCUGACCGAGCAACGCCGCGUGAGUGAAGAAGGUUUUCGGAUCGUAAAGCUCUGUUGUAAGAGAAGAACGGGUGUGAGAGUGGAAAGUUCACACUGUGACGGUAUCUUACCAGAAAGGGACGGCUAACUACGUG